rnacentral:rRNA from 1 species
AAGGUUAACCGAAUAGGGGAGCCGGAGGGAAACCGAGUCUUAAUUGGGCGUUAAGUUGCAGGGUAUAGACCCGAAACCCGGUGAUCUAGCCAUGGGCAGGUUGAAGGGUGGGUAACACUAACUGGAGGACCGAACCGACUAAUGUUGAAAAAUUAGCGGAUGACCUGUGGCUGGGGGUGAAAGGCCAAUCAAACCGGGAGAUAGCUGGUUCUCCCCGAAAGCUAUUUAGGUAGCGCCUCGUGAAUUCAUCUCCGGGGGUAGAGCACUGUUUCGGCUAGGGGGCCAUCCCGGCUUACCAACCCGAUGCAAACUGCGAAUACCGGAGAAUGUUAUCACGGGAGACACACGGCGGGUGCUAACGUCCGUCGUGAAGAGGGAAACAACCCAGACCGCCAGCUAAGGUCCCAAAGUCAUGGUUAAGUGGGAAACGAUGUGGGAAGGCCCAGACAGCCAGGAUGUUGGCUUAGAAGCAGCCAUCAUUUAAAGAAAGCGUAAUAGCUCACUGGUCGAGUCGGCCUGCGCGGAAGAUGUAACGGGGCUAAACCAUGCACCGAAGCUGCGGCAGCGACACUGUGUGUUGUUGGGUA